GACGAACGCUGGCGGCGUGCCUAAUACAUGCAAGUCGAACGAGAGCACCCGGUGCUUGCACUGGUCAAUCUAGUGGCGGACGGGUGAGUAACACGUGGGUAACCUGCCUAUCAGAGGGGGAUAACAUCCGGAAACGGAUGCUAAAACCGCAUAGGUUAUCGAACCGCAUGGUUCGAAGGUGAAAAGAGGUGCUUGCUUCUGUUGAAGCAUGGACCCGCGGUGCAUUAGCUAGUUGGUGAGGUAACGGUUCACCACGGCAGUGAUGCUAAGCGGACCUGAGGGGGUGAUCGGACACAUUGGAACUGAGACACGGCCCAAACACCUACGGGAGGCAGCAGUAGGGAAUCUUCCGCAAUGGACGAAAGUCUGACGGAGCAACGCCGCGUGAGUGAAGAAGGUUUUCGGAUCGUAAAACUCUGUUGUUAGAGAAGAACAAAUGCUAGAGUAACUGUUAUCGUCUUGACGGUACCUAACCAGAAAGCCACGGCUAACUACGUG
rnacentral:rRNA from 1 species